rnacentral:rRNA from 1 species
UACAGAGGGGGCAAGCGUUAUUCGGAAUUAUUGGGCGUAAAGGGCGCGUAGGCGGCGAUUCAAGUGACGGGUGAAAUCCCUCGGCUUAACCGAGGAACUGCCUGUCAGACUGGGUUGCUUGAGACCGGGAGAGGCGAGUGGAAUUCCCAGUGUAGCGGUGAAAUGCGUAGAUAUUGGGAGGAACACCAGUGGCGAAGGCGGCUCGCUGGACAAGUAUUGACGCUGAGGCGCGAAAGCGUGGGGAUCAAACAGG